CAGUCGCCGCGGGAAUACGUAGGGUGCGAGCGUUAAUCGGAAUUACUGGGCGUAAAGCGCGCGCAGGCGGCGUGGUAAGUCAGAUGUGAAAUCCCGGGGCUCAACCCCGGAACUGCAUCCGAUACUGCCAUGCUAGAGGAUUGGAGAGGUAGCUGGAAUUCUUGGUGUAGCAGUGAAAUGCGUGGAGAUCAAGAGGAACACUCGUGGCGAAAGCGAGCUACUGGACAAUAACUGACGCUGAGGCUCGAAGGCCAGGGUAGCGAAAGGGAUUAGAUACCCCCGUAGUCCCUGUCUCUUAUAC
rnacentral:rRNA from 1 species